rnacentral:rRNA from 1 species
GGGUGCGUAACGCGUAUAGAACCUACCUUUUACAGAGGAAUAGCCUUUAGAAAUGAAGAUUAAUGCCUCAUGGUAUUGUAGACUGGCAUCAGUUUAUAAUUAAAGAUUUAUCGGUAAAAGAUGGCUAUGCGUCCUAUUAGUUAGUUGGUAAGGUAACGGCUUACCAAGACAGCGAUAGGUAGGGGUCCUGAGAGGGAGAUCCCCCACACUGGUACUGAGACACGGACCAGACUCCUACGGGAGGCAGCAGUGAGGAAUAUUGGACAAUGGAGGAGACUCUGAUCCAGCCAUGCCGCGUGUAGGAAGAAUGCCCUAUGGGUUGUAAACUACUUUUAUACAGGAAGAAACACUGGUAUGUAUACC